rnacentral:misc_RNA from 1 species
CUUUCAUCCUUUACAGCUACCAGAUCAGACUCUUGAUUUCCACUGAAUUCUUCUGUCCUCUUCUUUUCUUUAAUUAAUUAGUUGCACACUUUGUUCCAGUGAAGAGCACUAAGAAAUUCCCGAUACCGAAAGUUCGUACUUCACCCAAGUGGAAGGGUUAUAAAUAUAGUAUGUAGACAGCCAGUGAGAAGAUUCCAAGGCAAAGUGAGCAGGGGG